CACUAAGUAGUGGGGAUGUUGAUGUACUGGAUAAACAAGCACUAAGUAGUGGGGAUGUUGAUGUACUGGAUAAACAAGCACUAAGUAGUGGGGAUGUUGAUGUACUGGAUAAACAAGCACUUAGUAGUGGGGAUGUUGAUGUACUGGCUAAAUAAGCACUUAGUAGUGGGGAUGUUGAUGUACUGGAUAAACAAGCACUUAGUAGUGGGGAUGUUGCUGUACUGGAUAAACAAGCACUUAGUAGUGGGGAUGUUGAUUUACUGGAUAAACAAGCACUAAGUAGUGGGGAUGUUGAUGUACUGGAUAAACAUGCGCUUAGUAGUGGGGAUGUUGAUGUACUGGAUAAACAAGUGCUUAGUAGUGGGGAUGUUGAUGUACUGGAUAAACAAGCACUUAGUAGUGGGGAUGUUGAUGUACUGGCUAAACAAGCACUAAGUAGUGGGGAUGUUGAUGUACUGGAUAAACAAGCACUUAGUAGUGGGGAUGUUGAUGUACUGGAUAAACAAGCACUUAGUAGUGGGGAUGUUGAUGUACUGGAUAAACAAGCACUUAGUAGUGGGGAUGUUGAUGUACUGGAUAAACAAGCACUAAGUAGUGGGGAUGUUGAUGUGGUAGUUUCAAUGAGCAAGGCAGAGGUAAACAAAAACAAAAACAUGAUAUGGACAAUGAUGGUGGAGAAAUGGCAGGAGCAGUGGAAUAGAGAUAAUAAGGGCAGGCAUUUAUUUAAUGUAUAGAUGAAAGUUGGGGAGGGGAGAACGACAGGAAGGGACAGAAGAGAGAAGGCUAUAUUUACAAGAUUAAGGGUGGGACACAGCCAGUUGAAUAAGACCUUAUAUGUGAUAAUGAGGGAAUGCUUCCAACAGGAAAAUGUAAUUAUUGCCAGGAAACAGAGACAGUGUGAUACAGUGUGGACAUUAUUGGAGGGAAAAAGAGAGGCUGAGAUCUAGUAUGAGGGAGAAGGGGAUACAGGAUACAAUUAGUUUAAAGAUUAUAUUGAGUAGAACGCCAUUAGAUAUAGUCUCAGAUAUUUUAUCUUUUUUAAAGAUCAACAGGGCUGGCAGGUAGGAUUUAGUUUCUUCCUGUCUCUGGCCCACACUCCAGUACAGUAUGUGGCGAUAAUGCACCAUAACGUUGGAUGCCAACCGCCAAUAAGCCCCACCGAAGAAUAAUAAGUAUAUAACCUUGAUUCUAACUGGCUGGCUUUUACUCUCUUGGUUUGUGUUGAAAAGGAACUACAGCUGGAGAACCGUGGCAUAAAGUCCCUUUCCAAGUGCAGUUUCAACUGUCCGUAUACCAUUCAGUAACUCAACAGAUUUUUGCUGGAAUAAAUCCACUGGUUCGAAGACCGCCACAGCAGAGGUCGUCAGCAACAAAAGCGGAACGCUAGCGGAGAAGAAGAGACACAAUUCAUCUACAUGUCUAACGCACUUUUGUACGUCGCGCUGUUCCGUACAUUUGACCUUAUUUUAGCACCCCAAAAACGUAAUACUUCUAGGUCAACUGUAAUAUGUACAACACAAUUUCUCCCCUUUCCAGCAAAAUCAACAACGA
rnacentral:lncRNA from 1 species